rnacentral:rRNA from 1 species
UACGUAGGGCGCAAGCGUUAUCCGGAAUUAUUGGGCGUAAAGAGCUCGUAGGCGGUUUGUCGCGUCUGCCGUGAAAGUCCGGGGCUCAACUCCGGAUCUGCGGUGGGUACGGGCAGACUAGAGUGAUGUAGGGGAGACUGGAAUUCCUGGUGUAGCGGUGAAAUGUGUAGAGAUCGGGAGGAACACCGGUGGCGAAGGCGGGUCUCUGGGCAAUUCCUGACGCUGAGGCGCGAAAGCGUGGGGAGCAAACGGG